GCAUAUCAAUAAGCGGAGGAAAAGAAACCAACAGGGAUUGCCUCAGUAACGGCGAGUGAAGCGGCAACAGCUCAAAUUUGAAAUCUGGCCUCUUUGGGGUCCGAGUUGUAAUUUGUAGAGGAUGUUUCGGGCACCGCUCCGGUUUAAAUUUCUUGGAACAGAAUGUCAAAGAGGGUGAGAACCCCGUCUUGGACCGGCAGUAGGGCCCAUGUGAAACUCCUUCGACGAGUCGAGUUGUUUGGGAAUGCAGCUCAAAAUGGGUGGUAAAUUUCAUCUAAAGCUAAAUAUUGGCCAGAGACCGAUAGCGCACAAGUAGAGUGAUCGAAAGAUGAAAAGCACUUUGAAAAGAGAGUUAAACAGUACGUGAAAUUGUUGAAAGGGAAGCGCUUGCAACCAGACUUGCGCGCGGCGGUUCCCCCUUCCUUUUGGUUGGGUUAUUCCGCCGUGUCCAGGCCAACAUCGGUUCUGGGGGUCGGUUAAAGGCCUGGGGAAUGUAUCUACCCUUCGGGCGUAGACUUAUAGCCCCGGGUGUCAUGCGACCUCCCGGGACCGAGGAACGCGCUUCGGCUCGGAUGUUGGCGUAAUGGUUGUCAGCGACCCGUCUUGAAACACGGACC
rnacentral:rRNA from 1 species